UAAAGCACUUGUCUAGCGAAUAAGGGUCGUGAGUUCAAAUCUCACCUGAGCUG
rnacentral:tRNA from 1 species